rnacentral:rRNA from 1 species
AGUGAACGCUGGCGGUAGGCCUAACACAUGCAAGUCGAACGGCAGCACAGUAAGAGCUUGCUCUUACGGGUGGCGAGUGGCGGACGGGUGAGGAAUACAUCGGAAUCUAUUUUUUCGUGGGGGAUAACGUAGGGAAACUUACGCUAAUACCGCAUACGACCUACGGGUGAAAGCAGGGGAUCUUCGGACCUUGCGCGAUUGAAUGAGCCGAUGUCGGAUUAGCUAGUUGGCGGGGUAAAGGCCCACCAAGGCGACGAUCCGUAGCUGGUCUGAGAGGAUGAUCAGCCACACUGGAACUGAGACACGGUCCAGACUCCUACGGGAGGCAGCAGUGGGGAAUAUUGGACAAUGGGCGCAAGCCUGAUCCAGCCAUACCGCGUGGGUGAAGAAGGCCUUCGGGUUGUAAAGCCCUUUUGUUGGGAAAGAAAAGCAGCAGGUUAAUACCCCGCUGUUCUGACGGUACCCAAAGAAUAAGCACCUGCUAACUUCGUG